rnacentral:rRNA from 1 species
UACAGAGGUCUCAAGCGUUGUUCGGAUUCAUUGGGCGUAAAGGGUGCGUAGGCGGCGCGGUAAGUCGGGUGUGAAAUCUCGGGGCUUAACUCCGAAACUGCAUUCGAUACUGCCGUGCUUGAGGACUGGAGAGGAGACUGGAAUUUACGGUGUAGCGGUGAAAUGCGUAGAUAUCGGGAGGAACACCAGUGGCGAAGGCGAGUCCCUGGACAAUUCCUGACGCUGAGGCACGAAAGCCAGGGGAGCAAACAGG